rnacentral:rRNA from 1 species
GACGAACCGUGCGAACGUUGUUCGGAAUCACUGGGCUUAAAGGGCGCGUAGGCGGGCUGUCAAGUCUGGGGUGAAAUGCCGCGGCUCAACCGUGGAACUGCCUCAGAUACUGACGGCCUCGAGGAAGGUAGGGGCAUGCGGAACUGUAGGUGGAGCGGUGAAAUGCGUUGAUAUCUACAGGAACUCCGGUGGCGAAAGCGGCGUGCUGGAUCUCUUCUGACGCUGAGGCGCGAAAGCCAGGGGAGCAAACGGG